rnacentral:sRNA from 1 species
GCCGGGCACAGUAGUGCACGCCUGUAAUCCCAGGGGCUCUGGAGGCUGAGGCAGGAGGAUCGCAAGUUCAAAGCCAGCCUCAGCAACUCAGGGAGACCCUGUCUCAA